CCGGUGAAAGCUGGGAGUGCCUUAGGGAGCGCAGAGACAGGUGGUGCAUGGCUGUCGUCAGCUCGUGUCGUGAGAUGUUGGGUUAAGUCCCGCAACGAGCGCAACCCUCGUUUUUAGUUGCCAGCAUUAAGUUGGGCACUCUAGAGAGACUGCCGGUGACAAACCGGAGGAAGGUGAGGAUGACGUCAAGUCAGCAUGCCCCUUACGUCUUGGGCUACACACGUACUACAAUGCUACGGACAGAGGGCAGCAAGCCAGGGAUGGCAAGCGAAUCCAGAAACCGUAGCUCAGUUCAGAUCGAAGGCUGCAACUCGCCUUCGUGAAGGAGGAAUCGCUAGUAAUUGCAGGUCAGCAUACUGCAGUGAAUUCGUUCCCGGGCCUUGUACACACCGCCCGUCACACCAUGGAAGUUGGUCACGCCCGAAGUCAUUACCCCAACCGAAAGGAGGGGGAUGCCUAAGGUAGGACUGGUGACUGGGGUGAAGUCGUAACAAGGUAGCCGUACCGGAAGGUGUGGCUGGAUCACCUCCUUUUAGGGAGA
rnacentral:rRNA from 9 species